UUACCAUGCAGUCGAACGGCAGCACGGGAGCAAUCCUGGUGGCGAGUGGCGAACGGGUGAGUAAUACAUCGGAACGUGUCCUGUAGUGGGGGAUAGCCCGGCGAAAGCCGGAUUAAUACCGCAUACGCUCUACGGAGGAAAGGGGGGGAUCUUCGGACCUCUCGCUACAGGGGCGGCCGAUGGCAGAUUAGCUAGUUGGUGGGGUAAAGGCCUACCAAGGCGACGAUCUGUAGCUGGUCUGAGAGGACGACCAGCCACACUGGGACUGAGACACGGCCCAGACUCCUACGGGAGGCAGCAGUGGGGAAUUUUGGACAAUGGGGGCAACCCUGAUCCAGCAAUGCCGCGUGUGUGAAGAAGGCCUUCGGGUUGUAAAGCACUUUUGUCCGGAAAGAAAACUUCGGCCCUAAUACGGCGGGAGGAUGACGGUACCGGAAGAAUAAGCACCGGCUAACUACGUGCCAGCAGCCGCGGUAAUACGUAGGGUGCAAGCGUUAAUCGGAAUUACUGGGCGUAAAGCGUGCGCAGGCGGUCCGCUAAGACAGAUGUGAAAUCCCCGGGCUUAACCUGGGAACUGCAUUUGUGACUGGCGGGCUAGAGUAUGGCAGAGGGGGGUAGAAUUCCACGUGUAGCAGUGAAAUGCGUAGAGAUGUGGAGGAAUACCGAUGGCGAAGGCAGCCCCCUGGGCCAAUACUGACGCUCAUGCACGAAAGCGUGGGGAGCAAACAGGAUUAGAUACCCUGGUAGUCCACGCCCUAAACGAUGUCAACUAGUUGUUGGGGAUUCAUUUCCUUAGUAACGUAGCUAACGCGUGAAGUUGACCGCCUGGGGAGUACGGUCGCAAGAUUAAAACUCAAGAAA
rnacentral:rRNA from 2 species